CGUAGCUCAAACAAAUCACAAAAGCACAUAGGAAGAAGAAUAUUGCUUUCAUUUUAGAUCCAUUUGUUAUGACUUUUGGGGACUCCAAACAGAACGUGAGAAAAUCUAUAGAGACUGUUUGGAUUUCUUAAGAGCCAAGCAGAACAAUAAAUUAAUGGCCCAUUGACCCUAGUUUAUCAUUACCAUUUGGUGCAAUUGAGGGAAAACAUGGCCAACAUUCAAAAGUUUGUUCAUGUUUUUCUGUGUGCCAACCUCUUCGUCUUCGUCCACUUUACUUGCGCAGGAGUACUCUACGCCGAAGGCUGUGAGACAUAUAAUGAAAAGUGCAGGACAUGUUGGAGAGCAAGCCAUACGUGGUCGGGUAUUUGUGUUAAUGGUCACGUAUGUGCUAAGGCAUGCAAGGAGUGGGAGUCUGCAAUCGAUGGACAUUGUUCAUGGUUCAAAUGCCUUUGCUCCAUCUUGUACUGUUUUUAAUUGACAAGACAUGCUCGAUAUAGGAUGAAAGGCAAGCAAAUCAAAGAAACUUCUCAUAUAUAUGGCCCUGCCGAGGGGAUCGGGUCGGUCAACUUCUUAUUGUUUGAUUAUACUUCUACAAUGUUAUAGUCGUUUUUGGUCCUUUAUUGGGGAGCUCACCUAUUCUAAGUGUUUUAAUUUGAUCCUUUGUAACCAUUUCCUAAUUUGAUCAGGAAAAAAACACAUAAAAUGAAAUUUCUAUCUA